GUGUGUCUUCCGAUCAGGAAAACUUACAGAAAGGUGCAAGAUUGAUUGUCUUUGAGUUCGAGGAUCACUCUGGGUUCACAUAAUUGUGUUAUAUUCCUUGCCGGGGGUCGGUUUAUGGAAGGGGGAAAGGAAUAUGGAUGCACAUCGGGCGGUUUUCUUAUGAUUCUACUGUAAAUAUCUUUCAUUUCAUCAACAUUUGAAUUCCGAAGAAUUGCACCAUAAGAAGUAAUAGUUAUUGUAACUC